rnacentral:rRNA from 1 species
UACGUAGGGGGCAAGCGUUGUCCGGAUUUAUUGGGCGUAAAGAGCGUGUAGGCGGCCAAGCAGGUCCGCUGUGAAAACUCGAGGCUCAACCUCGAGACGUCGGUGGAAACCGUUUGGCUAGAGUCCGGAAGAGGAGAGUGGAAUUCCCGGUGUAGCGGUGAAAUGCGCAGAUAUCGGGAAGAACACCCGUGGCGAAGGCGGCUCUCUGGGACGGUACUGACGCGUGAGACGCG